UACGUAGGUGGCAAGCGUUGUCCGGAUUUAUUGGGUUUAAAGGGUGCGUAGGUUGUUUUGUAAGUCAGUGGUGAAAUCCGGCAGCUCAACUGUCGAUGUGCCAUUGAUACUGCAGAACUUGAGUACAGACGAGGUAGGCGGAAUUGACGGUGUAGCGGUGAAAUGCUUAGAUAUCGUCAAGAACACCGAUAGCGAAGGCAGCUUACUAGACUGUAACUGACACUGAUGCACGAAAGUGUGGGGAGCAAACAGG
rnacentral:rRNA from 1 species